rnacentral:rRNA from 1 species
AGACGACUCCCGGCAACGGAUAUCUCGGCUCUCGCAUCGAUGAAGAACGUAGCGAAAUGCGAUACAUGGUGUGAAUUGCAGAAUCCCGUGAACCAUCGAGUCUUUGAACGCAAGUUGCGCCCGAGGGACCAUCCCGAGGGCACGUCUGCCUCUCGGGCGUUAGAAG